AGAGUCUUAUCCUGGCUCAGGAUGAACGCUGGCGGCGUGCUUAACACAUGCAAGUCGAACGAAGCGCUUAAAUGGAUUUCUUCGGAUUGAAGUUUUUGUGACUGAGUGGCGGACGGGUGAGUAACGCGUGGGUAACCUGCCUCAUACAGGGGGAUAACAGUUAGAAAUGACUGCUAAUACCGCAUAAGCGCACAGUGCUGCAUGGCACAGUGUGAAAAACUCCGGUGGUAUGAGAUGGACCCGCGUCUGAUUAGCUAGUUGGUGGGGUAACGGCCUACCAAGGCGACGAUCAGUAGCCGGCCUGAGAGGGUGAACGGCCACAUUGGGACUGAGACACGGCCCAAACUCCUACGGGAGGCAGCAGUGGGGAAUAUUGCACAAUGGGGGAAACCCUGAUGCAGCGACGCCGCGUGAGCGAAGAAGUAUUUCGGUAUGUAAAGCUCUAUCAGCAGGGAAGAAAAUGACGGUACCUGACUAAGAAGCACCGGCUAAAUACGUGCCAGCAGCCGCGGUAAUACGUAUGGUGCAAGCGUUAUCCGGAUUUACUGGGUGUAAAGGGAGCGUAGACGGUUGUGUAAGUCUGAUGUGAAAGCCCGGGGCUCAACCCCGGGACUGCAUUGGAAACUAUGUAACUAGAGUGUCGGAGAGGUAAGCGGAAUUCCUAGUGUAGCGGUGAAAUGCGUAGAUAUUAGGAGGAACACCAGUGGCGAAGGCGGCUUACUGGACGAUCACUGACGUUGAGGCUCGAAAGCGUGGGGAGCAAACAGAAGUAGAUACCCUGGUAGUCCACGCCGUAAACG
rnacentral:rRNA from 1 species